AUGACCACGCGCGCGACGCAACGCCCUGGCGUCUUCCUGCUCCUCGCUGCCGUCCUUCUCACGGUUGCGGUACAGCCAGCGGCGGCGACGCUGCACCCGGUGGACUACCUGGCGCUGCAGGCCGUUCGGCGCGCGCUCACCGACCUGCCGGGCUCCGGCUUCUUCGCUUCGUGGGACUUCACCGGAGACCCCUGCGGCUUCGCCGGGGUCUCCUGCUCCGGCGAUGGCCGGGUCGUCACGCUGGCCCUAGGGGACCCGCGCGCCGGCGCACCGGGCCUCUCGGGCGCAUUCCCCUCCGCGGCGCUCGCGCGUCUCUCCGCGCUCAGCUCGCUCUCGCUCGUCCCCGGCCGCGUUUCCGGGGGGUUAUCCUCCGCCGUCGCGGCGCUCCCGUCGCUCCGCUCCCCAUUCUCCCCUGCUCUUCGGACGGUUGAUCUCAGCAAGAACUCCUUCUCCGGCAGGAUACCCUCGUCACUGCUACAAAUCAGGAGUCUCCGAACGCUCGUCCUCUCCCACAACUCCCUCUCCGGCGAGAUCCCCAAGACAGUGAGUUCGCCGCUGGUCCACCUCGACCUCAGGAACAAUCGCCUAUCCGGCGGCGUCCCGCCGCUCCCGGUGACGGUCGUGUACCUCAGUCUCGCCGGGAACAGGCUCUCCGGCCGCGUGGGCGGCGUCCUUCGCAGACUGACGAGGCUGUCGUUUCUUGACCUCGGCGGGAACUGGUUCUCCGGCGAGGAGCCUGGAGAAGUCUUCUCGUUCCGGAUUGGGUACCUGCAGCUGCGCAAGAAUGCCUUCUCUGACGAGCUCCGGCCGGCGGGGCGGUUGCCGUCGGGCUCCACGGUGGACCUCAGCCACAACGCGCUAUCCGGGCGGGUGCCGGCGGAGCUGGCGAGCGCGGCUGCAGUGUACCUGAACGGGAACAAGUUUGCUGGCGCGGUGCCGGCGGAGAUUGUGGCGGCGGCGGAGGGCGGGCGCAUGCGGGUGCUCUUCCUUCAAGAUAACUUCCUGACCGGCAUCAGCGUGCGCGGCCUGCCGUCGAGCGCGCCGGUAUGUGCACACUGGAACUGUGUUGCGCCGCCGCCGACCGUGGUGGCCGCGUGCCCGGCCAAGGGCGGCAGGGGGCGGCGCCGGCCGCCGGCUCAGUGCGGCGGGAGGAGGGGGUAA
rnacentral:rRNA from 1 species